rnacentral:rRNA from 1 species
GACGAACGCUGGCGGCGUGCUUAACACAUGCAAGUCGAACGAUGAAGCCUAGCUUGCUAGGUGGAUUAGUGGCGAACGGGUGAGUAAUACGUGAGUAACCUACCUUUAACUCUGGGAUAAGCCCGGGAAACUGGGUCUAAUACCGGAUACGACCAAUCUCCGCAUGGGGUGUUGGUGGAAAGCGUUAUGUAGUGGUUAUAGAUGGGCUCACGGCCUAUCAGCUUGUUGGUGAGGUAACGGCUCACCAAGGCGACGACGGGUAGCCGGCCUGAGAGGGUGACCGGCCACACUGGGACUGAGACACGGCCCAGCCUCCUACGGGAGGCAGCAGUGGGGAAUAUUGCACAAUGGGCGCAAGCCUGAUGCAGCGACGCCGCGUGAGGGAUGACGGCCUUCGGGUUGUAAACCUCUGUUAGAAGGGAAGAAGAGAGAUUGACGGUACCUGCAGAGAAAGCGCCGGCUAACUACGUG